rnacentral:rRNA from 1 species
UACGUAGGGUGCGAGCGUUAAGCGGAAUUACUGGGCGUAAAGCGUGCGCAGGCGGUUUUGUAAGCCAGGUGUGAAAUCCCCGGGCUUAACCUGGGAAUGGCAUUUGGGACUGCAAGGCUGGAGUGUGGCAGAGGAGACUGGAAUUCCUGGUGUAGCAGUGAAAUGCGUAGAUAUCAGGAGGAAUACCGAUGGCGAAGGCAGGUCUCUGGGCUGACACUGACGCUCAUGCACGAAAGCGUGGGGAGCAAACAGG